GUAUUGAUUGCGUGUGACCGCAAAAAUAACAUUCUACACUGUAUCAAGUUUUGUGUGAAAACGUGAGCCCUCCUGCAAAGGGGACCCACGCGGUGAUGCACAAGGGGUGAAAUGGAUGUGUGAGAGUGCUCAGGCGUGCACGACCUUUUGAAAGGUCAGCGACAGCCCUUGUACCUUCGUUGUAUGAUAAUGAUCCUUCCGCAGGUUCACCUACGGAAA
rnacentral:misc_RNA from 1 species